UUCAGAGCGAGAUAGAGAUGAUAAUCUGAGAGUUUUCAGUUCUGCUUCUUUCGAUUCUCUGCUCCGCAUACCACAAUGCUAAACGAAAAAGUCAUGUAGUGAUGAUACUUUACAUAAAAAGGACAAGUCUGACAAGGAGGAAAAUACUCAGAGGACAGUAACAUACUGAAAUACUUUCACGUACUGACUAGGCCGACAUCUCUACAAGGAAGGCAACAAAUGCACAAUGUUCAUUGAUCACUGCCAACUUCAACAAGGUCUGGACAGGAUCUCCACAUCAGCUCCUACUUCUCGGAAAAGGGUGACCCAUACACACAGAAGACAUUAGAGGCCUAGGGGCAAGGAAGAAAAUGGGGGACCCAGGGGGCCAGAAAAAUGGAUCACUUAUAUAAUCCUACUAAAAUAAUAAUAACCGUAAUCGUAAUCAAUGAGUUAUACAGGAACAGAUCACGUUCCUCUAGGAAUGGAAAUAUCUUUAUUUGGUUGUUAUAAUAUGAAAUCCACUUGGUAAAGUACUUUAUAAAUUGUCAUGUAACCUAAUCCUGUUUUGGGUAGAAGUAAACCUUAUAAUGAUGCUGAUGACUGUAAUAAAAAAUAAAGAUGAAGAAAGAAAAGACUAGUGCAACAGAAGGUAUUUCACAGGUAAUAAAGACUACUGGAUACAC